GAUGAACGCUAGCGGCAGGCCUAAUACAUGCAAGUCGAGGGGUAGUGGAAGCUUGCUUCCAUGAGACCGGCGCACGGGUGCGUAACGCGUAUGCAACCUACCUCUAUCUGGGGGAUAGCCCGGAGAAAUCCGGAUUAACACCGCAUAAAAUCACAGUACGGCAUCGUACAAUGAUCAAAUAUUUAUAGGAUAGGGAUGGGCAUGCGUGUCAUUAGUUAGUUGGCGGGGUAACGGCCCACCAAGACCACGAUGACUAGGGGAUCUGAGAGGAUGGCCCCCCACACUGGUACUGAGACACGGACCAGACUCCUACGGGGAGGCAGCAGUAAGGAAUAUUGGUCAAUGGAGGCAACUCUGAACCAGCCAUGCCGCGUGCAGGAAGACGGCCCUCUGGGUUGUAAACUGCUUUUAUUCGGGAAUAACCUGCUUACGUGUAAGUAGCUGAAUGUACCGAAGGAAUAAGGAUCGGCUAACUCCGUGCCAGCAGCCGCGUAAU
rnacentral:rRNA from 1 species